GAGUUUGAUCCUGGCUCAGAUUGAACGCUGGCGGCAGGCUUAACACAUGCAAGUCGAGCGGGGGAAGGUAGCUUGCUACUGGACCUAGCGGCGGACGGGUGAGUAAUGCUUAGGAAUCUGCCUAUUAGUGGGGGACAACGUUCCGAAAGGAACGCUAAUACCGCAUACGGCCUACGGGGCGCAGCAGA
rnacentral:rRNA from 1 species